rnacentral:rRNA from 1 species
UACGGAAGGAGCUAGCGUUGUUCGGAAUUACUGGGCGUAAAGAGCGCGUAGGCGGCUUACCAAGUUGGGGGUGAAAUCCCGGAGCUCAACUCCGGAACUGCCUUCAAAACUGGUAGGCUCGAGUCCGGAAGAGGGGCGUGGAAUUCCCAGUGUAGAGGUGAAAUUCGUAGAGAUCGGGAGGAACACCGGUGGCGAAGGCGGCCUUCUGGACGGAUACUGACGAUGAUACGCGAAAGAGUGGGGAGCAAACAGG